CCGCCUUGGCGGCGCCCCGGCCUCUCCCAGCGCGCCCGGGGGCCGCUAGCCGGCGCUGGGCCUAGCCUGGAGCCACGGGGGGGGGAAGCCUCCCGCCACCUCCUGCCCCGAGGUGCAGCCGCUGUGGGACGCAGCUAAUCCCGGGACCCACCCAACACCCUCCGGCCAGAGCCCCCGUGGGCUAGCGCCCCCCCGGUGCGCCUCAGAUCCAGCAAACAGACAGGACCUUCUGUCCAAGGAGGCCCCAACCCUUCCGAAAGGGUUGGAAAGACGGAUGGGUGACUUCUGAUGAGCAAGAGCAUAUGAAGGCAGAAUUUGGUUUGGCCCUUAAUGUGAAGAAGAAUGUAUGUGUUCCAAGCAUAAAGGCUCCAACUUAGACAUAGGGGUUAUGAACAUCCAUCAUCUGCAAUGUCUACAACUUCGAAGUCAUGUGCUGCAACCACCAGCAGUACCGCAACUGAAUAUACUUCAGAGAGUAUUACCUCUAUCAAAAGAAAGACUUUCCUCAUCAUCCAGUAAAACCAUGGAUGAGUUUGUAAUCAGGACCAGCAGAUUCCAGCAAGACUCCAUCGAUGAAAAGACCGCUCAGUUAAUUUAUUCAACAAAUUCAACCUUUCAUCUUGUUCAGAGCAAAUAUUUCAUUUGCAUGAUUCAAUCAUUAUGACCAGGCUACACAUCAUCCGGCAGAGCAGACAUUGCUGGAAAGUUGCUGGAUACAGUGUGUGAGAAGGAAACUGAACAAUGUGCAAAAAACAUUGGUGGGAAAUUCAUUAUUUUUAGUCUUGAUGGGUGGAAA